GGAAGGAUGGCAGAGUGGUUAAAUGCAUCAGUUUUGAAAACUGUCGUAGUAUUUAAAUACUACCGGGGGUUCGAAUCCCCCUCUUUCCU
rnacentral:tRNA from 1 species